rnacentral:rRNA from 1 species
AUGACUGCUCUUAUUGGUAUGGCUCCUACCGAGGAGGAGGGAGAAGAGAAGAAGAAGAAGGAAAGGAAAGUAGCCGGAGCUUCUUUCAUGUGGAUUCAGGAACACAUUGCAUGCCUUGCGGAUGCCACUGAUGAUGUGAUCCAGACACAUGCUCGUGUCUAUAUGUGGUACGUUGUCUCGAGGACUUUGUUUCCUGACUCCACGGGCAAGAACGCUCCAUGGAUGUGGCUGAAGGUGUUGACCAUCUUCGAUAGCAAAUGGAGCUGGGGUUCAGCGACUCUUGCCUACCUGUACCGACAGGUAGUUGGUUUGUUUUGUUAUCAACUCAUUUCUUCAUUAGCAAUGGAACCUUGCUGUCAAGUUAACAUUGUUUUCUUUCAUAUGUAG